AAAUGAAUAGACGGGGGCCCGCACAAGCGGAGGAACAUGUGGUUUAAUUCGAUGAUACGCGAGGAACCUUACCUGGGCUUAAAUGUAGAGUGCAUUAUUUGGAAACAGAUAUUCCCUUCGGGGCUCUUUACAAGGUGCUGCAUGGUUGUCGUCAGCUCGUGCCGUGAGGUGUCGGGUUAAGUCCCAUAACGAGCGCAACCCCUAUCGCCAGUUGCCAGCAAGUAAUGUUGGGGACUCUGGUGAGACUGCCGGUGUAAACCGCGAGGAAGGUGGGGAUGACGUCAAAUCAGCACGGCCCUUAUGUCCAGGGCUACACACGUGUUACAAUGGUCAAUACAAUGGGCAGCCACUCGGCGACGAGGAGCUAAUCCACAAAAUUGGUCUUAGUUCGGAUCGGAGUCUGCAACUCGACUCCGUGAAGCUGGAUUCGCUAGUAAUCGUAUAUCAGCAAUGAUACGGUGAAUACGUUCCCGGGCCUUGUACACACCGCCCGU
rnacentral:rRNA from 1 species